rnacentral:rRNA from 1 species
AGCAGCCGCGGUAAUUCCAGCUCCAAUAGCGUAUAUUAAAGUUGUUGCAGUUAAAAAGCUCGUAGUUGAAUUUCGGGAUUGGCGCAUCGGUCGUGCCUCACGGGGUAUGAACUGGUGCAGUCAAUUUCUCACCUUCUGGAGAACCGCGAUGUCCUUAAUUGGAUGCCGUGGGGAACCAGGACCUUUACUUUGAAAAAAUUAGAGUGUUUAAAGCAGGCAUUUUUGCUUGAAUACAUUAGCAUGGAAUAAUAAAAUAGGACGGCAUGGUUCUAUUUUGUUGGUUUCUAGGACCACCGUAAUGAUUAAUAGGGAUAGUUGGGGGCAUUAGUAUUCAAUUGUCAGAGGUGAAAUUCUUGGAUUUAUUGAAGACUAACUACUGCGAAAGCAUUUGCCAAGGAUGUUUUCAUUAAUCAAGAACGAAAGUUAGGGGAUCGAAGACGAUCAGAUACCGUCGUAGUCUUAACCAUAAACUAUGCCGACUAGGAAUCAGACGAUGUUAAUUUUUUUAAUGACUCGUUUG